GUGGGUAUAGCUCAGUGGUAGAGUGCAGAGGUCCUGGGUUCAACCCCCAGUACCACU
rnacentral:tRNA from 1 species